rnacentral:rRNA from 1 species
AGAACGAACGCUGGCGGCAGGCCUAAUACAUGCAAGUCGAGCGGGCGUAGCAAUACGUCAGCGGCGGACGGGUGAGUAACACGUGGGAACAUGCCCUUCGGUACGGAACAACUCAGGGAAACUUGAGCUAAUACCGUAUGAUCCGGCAACGGCAAAGAUUUAUCGCCGGAGGAUUGGCCCGCGUCCGAUUAGCUAGUUGGUGAGGUAACGGCCCACCAAGGCACCGAUCGGUAGCUGGUUUGAGAGAACGACCAGCCACACUGGGACUGAGACACGGCCCAGACUCCUACGGGAGGCAGCAGUAGGGAAUCUUGGACAAUGGGGGAAACCCUGAUCCAGCCAUGCCGCGUGAGUGAUGAAGGCCUUCGGGUUGUAAAACUCGUUUCGACGGGGACGAUAAUGACGGUACCGUAGAAGAAGCUCCGGCUAACUUCGCGCCAGCAGCCGC